UGGGGAAUAUUGGACAAUGGGCGAAAGCCUGAUCCAGCGACGCCGCGUGUCGGAAGGAGUCCUUCGGGAUGUAAACGACUUUUGGUGGAGACGAAUAAGCAGCUCAGGGAAUGGGGCUGUGAUGACGGUAUCCAUGGAAUAAGCCCCGGCUAACUACGUGCCAGCAGCCGCGGUAAGACGUAGGGGGCAAGCGUCACCCGGAAUUACUGGGCGUAAAGGGAGCGUAGGCGGGAGGUCAAGUCCGGUGUGAAAGACCCUGGCUCAAC
rnacentral:rRNA from 1 species